rnacentral:rRNA from 1 species
GACGAACGCUGGCGGCGUGCUUAACACAUGCAAGUCGAACGGUGAAGCGCCUUCCUUUUUGGUGGGUGUGGAUGAGUGGCGAACGGGUGAGUAACACGUGAGUAACCUGCCCCCUUCUUCUGGAUAACCGCAUGAAAGUGUGGCUAAUACGGGAUAUUCUGGGUCUGUCGCAUGAUGGGUCUGGGAAAGAUAUUGUUUCGGUGGGGGAUGGGCUCGCGGCCUAUCAGCUUGUUGGUGGGGCGAUGGCCUACCAAGGCGGUGACGGGUAGCCGGCCUGAGAGGGUGGACGGUCACACUGGGACUGAGACACGGCCCAGACUCCUACGGGAGGCAGCAGUGAGGAAUAUUGCACAAUGGGCGCAAGCCUGAUGCAGCGACGCCGCGUGAGGGAUGGAGGCCGUCGGGUUGUGAACCUCUUUCGCCAGUGAAGCAGGCCUGCCUCGUUUGUGGGUGGGUUGACGGUAGCUGGAUAAGAAGCGCCGGCUAACUACGUG